rnacentral:rRNA from 1 species
AUGGGUCGCGUGAUCCGCGCUCAGCGUAAGGGUGCGGGCUCCGUCUUCAAGUCCCACACCCACCACCGCAAGGGCCCCGCCCGGUUCAGGUCGCUCGACUUCGGCGAGCGCAACGGGUACCUCAAGGGCGUCGUCACCGAUGUCAUCCACGACCCGGGGCGUGGUGCGCCGCUGGCCAAGGUGACCUUCCGCCACCCGUUCAGGUACAAGCACCAGAAGGAGCUCUUCGUCGCCGCCGAGGGUAUGUACACCGGCCAGUUCGUCUACUGCGGACGCCGCGCCACCCUCUCCGUCGGCAACGUCCUCCCGCUCCGCUCCGUUCCUGAGGGAGGCGUCAUCUGCAACGUCGAGCACCACGUCGGCGACCGCGGUGUCUUCGCCAGGGCAUCCGGUGACUACGCCAUCGUCAUCAGCCACAACCCCGACAACGGCACCUCAAGGAUCAAGCUCCCCUCUGGUGCCAAGAAGAUUGUCCCAAGCAGCUGCCGUGCCAUGAUUGGUCAGGUUGCUGGUGGUGGCAGGACUGAGAAGCCAAUGCUCAAGGCUGGUAACGCCUACCACAAGUACCGUGUGAAGAGGAACUCGUGGCCUAAGGUGCGUGGUGUGGCCAUGAACCCUGUGGAGCAUCCCCACGGAGGAGGUAACCACCAGCAUAUUGGUCACGCUUCCACUGUCCGCCGUGAUGCACCACCUGGCCAGAAGGUUGGUCUCAUCGCUGCUAGGAGGACUGGUCGUCUCAGAGGCCAGGCUGCCGCCUCUGCUGCCAAGGCCGACAAGGCCACUUAG